UGAGGGUGAGGUCGGCGAAGGGUCAGGCGAGCAUUGUGUGCAGCGCGAGGGAGAAACGCUGGUUUCUAUUUAAAGCCUUUCAUGCCGCUGCCAGAGCAUUGUGUGCGGGAGCAGCCCGGCCAUGGAGAAAUGCGCCUGGGAGAUGCUGACUGCAGGAAUGGGGGGAAGAUUGGAAACAGCCAGGCUCACGUGCUGCCAGCCAAAGCCUCCCCUGCCUCGGGAAGAAAGGGAGGGCGAGAUCUGCCUGGCUCUUUUCAGCGGCUAACGCAGAUGGAUUUGCUUUGGCGUUUAAGGGUGAUGGAUGUGCCAGGUACUAUUCAUUAGGGAUGAUUUGUUGGGGCCAGCGUAGCUCGCCUGCCCAUUAGGACGCAUUUACUUCGCAGCUUUUAUCUUCCUGCCUGAGCUACAAGUGCCUGCAUGAAGUCCCUUUAUUUCACCACGCAGAGUUUCUGGCCCAGCAGGGCCCUGCUCCCCGUACCCAACGAGAUGCAGCAAGGCUGGAGAACAAUUAUGGAACAGAAGCAGAGGAAGGAAAAGCCAAGAUUGGGAACUGUCUGGUGGCUUUAUUGAGCCAUGCAAAGAGGUGGCACUCACUGACUCCUUGUCACUGGUGCCAGGUGUGUACGUGUGCCCAGGUGGGAGGUUUUGUGCUCAGAUGAAAGCGUGUCAAUAAAGGCAGGGUUGUGUGAGCAGCAGCCCUGCCAAGGAGGAAACAUCUCUCAAGAUCCCCACCAGAAGGGUGUGCAGAGCAAACACGAGUGUUGUUUCAUCUCAGAGGAUGCCAAGCCCCGCUGAGAGGAGGGAAAGACCUCAAAAAAAGGGACAUGGUGGCUUUUUCCAGCAGACACUGAGCACACAUGGUGAGGGUAGACAGAGGGUGGCAGUGGGAAGGGGCUUCCUUGCAAAACAGCCUCACCAACUCCCCAAAAAAGGACAGAAAUGCAAACCCCAAGCUCUUCUGCCACCAUUGGAGCCAGAAGAGCUUAAAAGCUAAUGAGCUAAUUGAGCAAUGGAGGCCAUCUCCCCAUAGCUAUGUGUCAGCUCCCAUUAUAUCCACUCUGGAAAUUUCACAGACCCUCUCUGGAGGUAUUGAUCAUUUAUUUUCCAGGCCCCUGUGCUGCCCCUUCCCUUGGGCAGGCAGGGAUGGAGGCUGAGGGUGGCUUCCCCCACAGACAGCCCGUCAGCUGCAAUUGUUUUCUAGUGAAAAUAGAUGUUCAGCAUCGAUCCCUCUCCCUCCGUGGAGUCCGGGGGCCUUCUCCUUAGUUACUCUAAUAAAACACAACUAAUUAAA